rnacentral:rRNA from 1 species
GACGAACGCUGGCGGCGUGCUUAACACAUGCAAGUCGAACGGAAAGGCCCUGCUUUUGUGGGGUGCUCGAGUGGCGAACGGGUGAGUAACACGUGAGUAACCUGCCCUUGACUUUGGGAUAACUUCAGGAAACUGGGGCUAAUACCGGAUAGGAGCUCCUGCUGCAUGGUGGGGGUUGGAAAGUUUCGGCGGUUGGGGAUGGACUCGCGGCUUAUCAGCUUGUUGGUGGGGUAGUGGCUUACCAAGGCUUUGACGGGUAGCCGGCCUGAGAGGGUGACCGGCCACAUUGGGACUGAGAUACGGCCCAGACUUCUACGGGAGGCAGCAGUGGGGAAUAUUGCACCAUGGGCGGAAGCCUGAUGCAGCAACGCCGCGUGCGGGAUGACGGCCUUCGGGUUGUAAACCGCUUUCGCCUGUGACGAAGCGUGAGUGACGGUAAUGGGUAAAGAAGCACCGGCUAACUACGUG